rnacentral:tRNA from 1 species
AGAGGGAUGGCAGAGUGGUCGAAUGCGGCGGUCUUGAAAACCGUUGACUGUCAAAGGUCCGGGGGUUCGAAUCCCUCUCCCUCUGCGA